rfam:Brachypodium distachyon strain Bd21 chromosome 3, whole genome shotgun sequence.
AUGAUACUCCCUCCGAUCAAUAUUAAUUGUCUCAAAUUUUCUCAAAUAUGGAUGUAUCUAUGCCUAGAAAGCGUCUAGAUACAUUUAAUAUUUUGACAAUUAAUAUGGAUCGGAGGGAGUAUCUA